UACGUAGGGAGCAAGCGUUGUCCGGAAUCAUUGGGCGUAAAGCGCGCGUAGGUGGCCUCAUAAGUCCGCUGUGAAAGUCAAAGGCUCAACCUUUGAAAGCCGGUGGAUACUGUGGGGCUAGAGUACGGAAGAGGCGAGUGGAAUUCCUGGUGUAGCGGUGGAAUGCGCAGAUAUCAGGAGGAACACCAAUAGCGAAGGCAGCUCGCUGGGACGGUAUUGACGCUAAGGCGCGAAAGCGUGGGGAGCAAACAGG
rnacentral:rRNA from 1 species